UUUUGUCAAAAAGGAUAACUAACCGAAAUUCCCUCUUGAUGCGAUAAGGUAUUGUGCUUGGUGCAUCUACUACAAUAUUGUAGCCUUCAAGCACACCUGCAAAAGUGAUUAAUGAUCUUUUGGUACCCAUGCCAUUUUGGGUCCUUGGGGGUUAGGCAUAUCAUAGUGAUGCAAUUGAGUGAUAUGUCUAUGUCGUGUAAAACAAGN
rnacentral:lncRNA from 1 species